rnacentral:lncRNA from 12 species
UCUCUCAGGUUUGUAUUUCUUUAAUUUUUCCCCAUUCAGUUUCCUCUCAUUCCCUAUGGUAAAUAAAUAAAAUCUUAAAAAAAAAAUUCCUCCAUCUCUCAAAAAACGAUUGCAGAUGAUGGAUUAUUUAACCUGUAUGUGUACCAAAGCUUCAUCAACACAGGCUAGCGCCACUUGAAGUUUCUAGAGAGAUUUCACUCUCUCGUCACCGGGGAGAUAUCCCAAGAAUUCUGGGAUUUUCCCAAACUCUAGGAAAGAAGUUUAUGCUUUUUAAUUGUGAAAGUAAGAGGUUUUGUUUUUGUUUUUUCCCAUUGCAUGUCAAUUUGGGGAAAUAUUUGCUGAGGGGAACACAUUUUUCCCCCCACAUCAAAUCAAACGGCUAAAGUUAACUGGUUAAGUUUUCGGUGUUCUUUUAGAGAUAGUCCAGUUUUGCUAAAAAAGAAUGAUUGGUUUUAGUUUACCUCAAAAAUGUCAUUAGAAAAUCCAUGAGUUUUUUUCCCCCUUAUUUUAUGUUGGUAUAUGGACUUCCUUUUAGUUUCUAAAUGUGUAUUUAGACAAAUGGAGCUAUUUAUUUUGGUUCAACACCCUUUUUUUCUCCUUCAGUGUUGAAAAAGAAAGUAUGCUGUGUGGUUAUCUUGGAGGCCUCAUGAGUUUGGCCUGACAUCUCAGCUGUCCUUUGACCCCUGCAGCCACUGCAGCAGAAACCUACUGGCAGCCUCCUGCCUCAGCUCCUCCCAGGGCUUCUUGUUUUCUGCCCUGAAAAUGUCUACUUGGCACUCAGGCUGCAAUUAUGAGGCAUUGAGAAUGCACCUGACAGUUGGGCUGUCACCUCAUUUUAAAGCCUGCAGUCCAACAAAUCUUCAAUCUCCUUUUGUGAUUGCAGAGACAGGUGAGGAGCAAACAGGGGUCAAAGAACAGAGAUCCCAUCUGGGGCAUUUGAAGUUGUAUUGUUAUUUUCAUCGAUCAAAAUAUAUUCUCUUUGGGGAUCCCUGGGUGGCGCAGCGGUUUGGCGCCUGCCUUUGGCCCAGGGCGCGAUCUUGGAGACCCGGGAUCGAAUCCCACAUCGGGCUCCCUGCAUGGAGCCUGCUUCUCCCUCUGCCUAUGUCUCUGCCUCUCUCUCUCCGUGUGACUAUCAUGAAUAAAUAA